rnacentral:rRNA from 1 species
CCUACGGGUGGCAGCAGUGAGGAAUAUUGGUCAAUGGGCGCGAGCCUGAACCAGCCAAGUAGCGUGAAGGAUGACUGCCCUACGGGUUGUAAACUUCUUUUAUCAAGGAAUAAAGUCAGGCACGUGUCCCUUUUUGUAUGUACUUUAUGAAUAAGCAUCGGCUAACUCCGUGCCAGCAGCCGCGGUAAUACGGAGGAUCCGAGCGUUAUCCGGAUUUAUUGGGUUUAAAGGGAGCGUAGAUGGGUUGUUAAGUCAGUUGUGAAAGUUUGCGGAUCAACCGUAAAAUUGCAAUUGAUACUGGCAGGCUUGAGUACAGGUGAGGUAGGCGGAAUUCGUGGUGUAGCGGUGAAAUGCUUAGAUAUCACGAAGAACCCCGAUUGCGAAGGCAGCUUACCAAACUGCCACUGACAUUGAUGCUCGAAAGUGUGGGUAUCAAACAGGAUUAGAUACCCCAGUAGUC